GCUCCCUUCGUCUAGUGGCCUAGGACACCGGCCUCUCACGCCGGUAACAGGGGUUCGAGUCCCCUAGGGAGCGCCA
rnacentral:tRNA from 2 species